AACGAACGCUGGCGGCAUGCCUAACACAUGCAAGUCGAACGAGAUCUUCGGGUCUAGUGGCGCACGGGUGCGUAGCGCGUGGGAAUCUGCCCUUUGGUUCGGAAUAACAGUUGGAAACGACUGCUAAUACCGGAUGAUGACGAAAGUCCAAAGAUUUAUCGCCAGAGGAUGAGCCCGCGUAGGAUUAGCUAGUUGGUGUGGUAAAGGCGCACCAAGGCGACGAUCCUUAGCUGGUCUGAGAGGAUGAUCAGCCACACUGGGACUGAGACACGGCCCAGACUCCUACGGGAGGCAGCAGUGGGGAAUAUUUGACAAUGGGCGAAAGCCUGAUCCAGCAAUGCCGCGUGAGUGACGAAGGCCUUAGGGUUGUAAAGCUCUUUUACCCGGGAUGAUAAUGACAGUACCGGGAGAAUAAGCUCCGGCUAACUCCGUGCCAGCCGCCGCAGUAA
rnacentral:rRNA from 1 species